UGUCCAUUGGCAGCCUUUUUAGCGCUGCCCCCACUGCAGCAGAUCAGUGUGAUGUGAAAUAUUAGGUAUCAGCUCAGAAAUGCAGUUCUGCCACAGCGUUGCUGUCAUCCGAGGACAAAUGGUGCCGGAGAAGGAGAAAUAUCGUCUAAGCUCGGCAACGUAUGGCCUUCAGGAAAAGUUUUUUUUGUGGUGAACUUUUUAGUGCAUCAAAGGAAUCUAGGGGAGAACUGUCCAGAGCCUCAAUGUCUUGUCUGUGAUGGGUGUACCGCCCUCUUGGCACGCUUAUUCCUCAGUGUCAGUGAUGUUAGUUGGACGAGACUAAUGGCCGGGCUAUUACGCUUAAGAACACGCGUCCCCUCGCGGACCUCGAGCUGACGGCUCUGAGCCAUGUGCUCAGAAAAACGCACUCUCCGCAAAGUGGCGAACAAACUAUGCGGCCUGGACCGAGCAAACCCCCCCCAACCCAGCCAAUCAGCACUGCUGCCGCUUCAGGGGCACUGAAGGGAGGAGGUUAUUUGAUUGGCUUGUCAUCUUGAUUGACUUUGAGUUAUCGUGUCGUACAUUUUGCUUCGAGUUCAUAUCCAUGUCUUUGUUUUCAUAUCGAUCGUAUAACAGUCUUUGGGUGUAGGAUUUUGAGGACUACACCUUUAAGUAAACAAACUCCUGCUUGAGGGACACCCCUGCUCAGCUCUGGGACCCCUGGCCCGUCCUGCUCCUCCAUCUUCCGUCUCCAUCUGCGACUGCGUCUGCAUCCCGGCUGCAUCUGAGCGAUUUCACAUGCCUGGGAGGACUCUUUAUCUACAGUACUGCGCUGCCGAUUGCCUGUUGCUUGCCUCGCCUGUGAGCCUGGCCGUCUGCUUUCUCUAUCCCAGCACCGCUCCGAGCUCUCCAGCCCACUCUGACUCCGCUGUGUGGGGACCCCUGCUGAGACACAG